rnacentral:tRNA from 1 species
GGGCCCGUAGCUCAGCUGGUAGAGCGCUUGGCUGGCAGCCAAGAGGUCAGGGGUUCGAAUCCCCUCGGGUCCACCA